CACAGGCUUAGAAAGAAGGAACCUGAGUCCGGGCACCUGUCAUCCCAGCACUUUGGGAGGCCGAGGAGGGUGGAUCACCUGAGGUCAGGAGUUCGAGACCAGCCUGGCCAAUAUGGCGAAACCCCCGUCUCUACUAAAAAUACAAAAAUUAGCCGAGCAUGGUGGCGUGCGCUUCCAGCUACUUGGAAGGCUGAGGCGGGAGAAUGGCUUGAACCUGGGAGGCGGGGGUUGCAGUGAGCUGAGAUCGCACCACUGCAGUCCAGCCUGGGUGACAGAGCGAGACUUCGUCUCAAAAAAAAAAAAAAAAGGAGAAGAAGAAGAAAGAAGGAAGCUGAGGUUCAGACAGGCUAAGUCCCUAUUGCAGGCUGCGCAAUCUAAAAAGGUCAUGAACUCUGAGAGUUUGAGCUGAGCCUCUAAAAGCUGUAUCAAUAGCACCUUGCACUGUUGAAGCAGGUCAUGAACUCUGAGAAUUUGGGCUGCAUUUUUAAAGCUGGAUCACUGGCAAUUUGUACUCAAAAAGCAGAUAGUGUCUUGCAAUGUUGCCCAGGCUGGAGUGCAGUGGUGCCCCUCCUGUUGUGAAUGUAUUAAUAAUAGCAACAGCUUCUGGAGCACCUAAGAGGUGCUAUGACUCAUGAUAGGUGUCUACAUGCAUAGAACAAUCUUCACAAGUCUUCCAG